AGUCACUGACAUUAGAUACCCCUGUAGUCCAGGGUGUAAACGCUGCAGACUUGGUGUUGGAAAUCCUUCGAGGGUAUUCAGUGCCGGAGAGAAGUUGUUAAGUCUGCUACUUGGGGAGUACGUCCGCAAGGAUGAAACUUAAAGGAAUUGGCGGGGGUGCACCGCAACGGGAGGAGCGUGCGGUUUAAUUGGAUUCAACACCGGAAAACUCACCAGGGGAGACUGUUACAUGAAACCCAGACUAAUGAUCUUGGUUGAUUUUCAG
rnacentral:rRNA from 1 species